rnacentral:rRNA from 1 species
CGAAGGGUGCUAGCGUUGUUCGGAAUCACUGGGCGUAAAGCGCGCGUAGUCGGCUUUGCAAGUCAGGGGUGAAAUGCCAAGGCUUAACCUUGGAACUGCCUUUGAAACUGCAAAGCUAGAGUGUCGGAGGGGAUAGCGGAAUUGCUAAUGUAGAGGUGAAAUUCGUAGAUAUUAGCAGGAACACCGGUGGCGAAGGCGGCUAUCUGGACGACAACUGACGAUUAGGCGCGAAAGCGCGGGGAUCAAACAGGAUUAGAUACCCUGGUAGUCCGCGCUGUAAACGAUGGAUGCUAGCCGUUGGGGGGUUACCCCUCAGUGGCGUAGCUAACGCGUUAAGCAUCCCGCCUGGGGAGUACGGUCGCAAGAUUA